UACAGAGGUCUCAAGCGUUGUUCGGAUUCAUUGGGCGUAAAGGGUGCGUAGGUGGCGGGGUAAGUCAGGUGUGAAAUCUCGAGGCUCAACCCGUCGAACUGCACUUGAUACUGACCUUGCUCGAGUACUGGAGAGGAGAUUGGAAUUUGACGGUGUAGCAGUGAAAUGCGUAGAUAUCGUAAGGAAGACCAGUGGCGAAGGCCGAAUCUCUGACA
rnacentral:rRNA from 1 species